rnacentral:lncRNA from 1 species
AUUUUAGUAUUAUUUUAUUUAUUUAUUCACUUAAUUGCAUUAUUUUUAACCAGUUGGUAGAUGUAAAGGACAUUCCUUCACCAGUGGUAUUACCUUUAAAUUUUUGCUUGAUGUACACAUACUAAAAGUUUGAAUUGUUCUGAUGCCCAUUUUCUAUUAAUGGCACAGUAAGAAAAUGUCUGUGACUCAAGGUCAUAAAAAAGAUGAUUAUUUGGUUCUCAGGGUUCAAAAGAAAAAGCCCUGAGUAUGUCAGUUCUGAUGGGGCCAAGGCCCAAGUGUAGGUUCUUUAAUCUUUUUUAAUGAAUUUUGAAUAUUCUUUUUUAAAUGCAGUGUUAUUUCUCUAGGUCAUGCAAGAGGCCAUUUACAGCAGAAGAACCAUAAAAACGAAAGUUAAGAAUAGGGCUUUGUGCAGUCAAGUGGAUUUACAGCUGAGCUAAGCAUCAGACUAUGUCGCUUAAAGUUCACACAAUUAACCUGUAAUAUAAAUAAACAAGAAAGAGUUCAAAGUAUCCAAACAAAUUAUAGUUUUGG